rnacentral:rRNA from 1 species
UACGUAGGGGGCUAGCGUUGUCCGGAAUCAUUGGGCGUAAAGCGCGUGUAGGCGGCCCGGUAAGUCCGCUGUGAAAGUCGGGGGCUCAACCCCCGGAUGCCGGUGGAUACUGUCGGGCUAGAGUGCGGAAGAGGCGAGUGGAAUUCCUGGUGUAGCGGUGAAAUGCGCAGAUAUCAGGAGGAACACCAAUUGCGAAGGCAGCUCGCUGGGACGUGACUGACGCUGAGACGCGAAAGCGUGGGGAGCGAACAGG